GUGUGCUGGGUGAGGUGUGAGGCGCUGCAAGUGGGGUCUCUGGCCCUUUUCCAGGGUAUUUGAAGCCUUCUCCAGAUCACUCCAAGCAAGAAGAAGGAAACCUUGCUCCCCUGAACACCCCCAGGCAGGCAGGAGAAGCUAGCCUGAAGACCACACGAUGUCCUCCCGUGUUCCUGAAGAUCAUAUGCUUAAUCACAAUUGGACCCCAGAGAGCUCUCCUGCCCUUUUUCUUCCAUGUGAGGACAUAAUGAGAGGACAGUCAUCUAUGAACCAGAAAGCAGGACCUCACCAGACAUCAAACCUGCCAGGGCCUUGAUCUUGGACUUCCCGUCCUCCAGAACUGUGAGAAAUAAAUUUCUGUUGUUUAAGCCAUCCAGUUGAUGGUACUUUGUUAUAGCAGCCCAAACUAAGACAGCAUGUAUCCUAACAAAUUCACAGGUUCUAGG